UAUCUAAAUAAUUAAUUAAUAUAAUAAAGUGGUCAAUUUUGGUAGGUUUGGCUGAAUUUGACUUUUUUGGCAAGUUAAGCUUCACCCGGGUUCAAUCAUUGGUUGAAGCAUUGUUCAAUUGAAUAAUUUAUUAUUAAUUAUCUAAUGUAAGUAAGUGCAUUAUGAGUAAUUUCACCUAAACCUUAAAAAAAUGAUAACUAUAAUUAAUAAGUAACAAGGAGUCCUAGUUUGACUAAGUCUUCAACUCAAACACCUACAUUUACUCUCAUCUCUCUCCACGCUCAUUAUCAAGACUUUCUCCACUUUCUUCUCACGUUAUUUAUCAACAAAAAGAAAAAAAUUCAAAUUUCAUCACUUGAUGAACUUGCACACAAAAACUUAAAAGAAAAAUUAACUAAAAACUAAAAGAGAAAGCAUCUUUCAAAUGGUUUGCGUGUGUGUUUAGUUGGAGAAGCAGUUGUGUUUUGUGGAAGUUUGCAGCACUUGAGAUCAGAUUUGAAAUUUUUUAAAUCACCAUAAAAGGUGCAAGUUCAGGAGGGUGUUGAAGACAUUUAUUGCAGCUGUUCGGACAACAGAGCUUUCCAUCUGGACUUUGUAGGUCCUCAUGCAUUAAAGGAUGCCUUCCGUUAUUUUUUCUAGAUUAGUAAUAGGUUUAGGCUAGUGGAGCAUGUUCCACUACUAUUUAUUUCCUAUUUUGUUCGAACUUAUGUAAUGGUGCCAUUUUGGCAAUUAUUACUUAUGCUAUAAGACUAUUAUUUCAA